AGGAAAGUCGUGGUCUUUUAGUAUUACACCCUGGCUUUCUCUGUUCAUUAAAAUUUCAGGCGCAGUGAUCCAAACAUGUUCAAACGUUCCAAUUCCAAUGAACGACCGAUGGUGAGGAGGGAAAAGGGGACAGGGCGGCUGAGAAAACUUUUUCUAGAAGUCAUUCCGAUACACGGAAUGCACGUGUCGGUGAAACAAAUAGGAACUUUUCAUGCAUAAAUGACGUCUACGCUUCGCGGUGCUACUUGAAGUAUUCAAUUUUCAGGAUAAUUUACAGCAAAUUGACGAAUUUGACACAUAUUAUGCUGAAAAUAUUCAUGCAAACAUGAGUGAAAAUACGGAAGAUUUUAGAGAUAAAAUUUCCAGCAGUACCCUCAAAUCGUUUAGUUGAACACAUAAUUGCACUAUCUCAGCAACAUUUUAAAGCUCAUUCGUUCUAGCUACGGAAAAUAGCUGAAUUUAUCCUGCGAAUUAGAGGAGUGGACCUCAUGAUAAGUAUUAACGAAUUCGUGAAUCACCUGCCUUUCAGCGGCGUAAAUCAUCAACUAUCGAUAUUUUUCCAUUUGAUCCAAUGGUGAAGAAUCGAAUAGCGGCGUGUUUAUUGCGAGCACAAAGAUAAUCGACCCUUUCCCGUAAGUUUAAAUGGGAGAUCAAUCAAUCCAUCGGAAAACACGGCUGCCAUUUUCAGACAUCAGAUAUGCAGGGGCCAUUGGCCGCGAAGAUUGGUUCCCGGUGAAAUAAUGGCGACUAAUUACUCUUGGCGCGGCGGGCAGCGAGAACCGCGAGACCGCCCGCGAUUGGCCGUUAUGCAAUGGGCGGCCUCGGCCAGAUUUUGAAUAAUUCAAGCCCCAACGAGCGACCAGUUCUCUGCAGCCCACUCGUUUCGGCAAAUUUAAGAUAGCGCCGAUAGAUUUAUUCAUUCGGCUCGUCGAAGGAUCAGUAUGCGGUGAAGAAAAAGCCAGCUUGAUUGCGAUUGAUAUGUGAAAAGUCUGCGUACUUGAAGGAAAAAGAAUCGUUGCUCUCACAUCGAUCAAAGUGAAUUCCAGGAGCUUAUCACCUUUGGAGACGAAGUUACGACGAUAUACUUCGGUGAUAACGAGUUUCUCCGUUUGGAAAAGAAAACCACGGUGCGUAUCGCAUUACCAUGGGCCGUGAAGAUGGUUCUGAAACUUUGAAGGAUUUUAAAAGAAGUUAUAAUGAACGCGCAACCACUACUAUUUAAAGUCAGGCACGUAUCCAUGGGGGAGGCUUGGGGGGCUCAAGCCCCUCCCGAAAGCCAAAAAAGCAGGAAAAGAAUGAAGAAGAGAAGAGUAGGAAGAUAAAAAAAGGCGAGAAAAUGGGAAGUUUGACCUUUCAAAUG
rnacentral:lncRNA from 1 species